UCUUAAAUCCUAAAAAGGAAAACAUGUCAUGGUUUUUGAACUCACCCGCCGAAUCGAGUUUUGGGACUUGCCACGUGCAAUACCUGGAAAACCGCGUGCCUCCACAUGCGUUGCUACUGAACCGUAAUACACCACCACCGAAAUCAUCAUUCACUACUGCAACUCGAUCAACGACCACCAAAGAAUGCCUCAUACAUUCAGAUCUGACACAAAUCUGG
rnacentral:lncRNA from 1 species